ACGUGGCAACUCCGGGAGGAUUGUGCGAAGCUUCUCCUUUCAGACACAAGGGUGGUGAAAGCGACCAAUCGGAAGCCUUCAUCGUUGCACCGCCUCACUUCGUUACCCUCGCGAGAAGCAGUUCCAUUUCCAAGAGAAGAGCAUAAUCAUAGCAGAUGCCAAAAGCAGCAGAUGGAAACAGAUCAUUUUCUCAUGGGGUCCCUAGAUGGCAGUAAAGAGUUACCGCCGGCCCUUCUAAGAAUCUAAGGAUUAUAUCCAAGGAAAAGAAAGGUCUUGAAUCCGUUUGAAUUUGGUUUGGGAUGAAUGGGAAGGAGAACAAGUUUGCGUUUUGUCAAGGUUGAUGUGACUUUCCUUUUUGAAAGUGAUGAUGGAAUAUAUUUAAUUUUAAAUAUAUUAAAGAAUGGACUUCCUC